rnacentral:misc_RNA from 1 species
UUCAAUUGUGGUGGCAUAGCAAUUAGUAUCUCCAUUUCACAUAAGAUUGGUGAUGGUUCUAGCCUUUGCACACUCAUCAUUAAUUGGUGCACUACAAGUGAACGAUUAAUAAGAAGCAACACGCAUCUGUCAAUAUUUUUGAAGAGCCCUAGCAACACAGGGGCUAACAAGGUACGAGAACACUCUAAUUUCGUCUCUAUAUCGUCAACAUUUCCACCAAGAGGGAUAUGUGAUGACACACCAAAGGAAAAAUGCAUACCAAUUCAUCCUGUAGCUGAAAACCUAGCAGUAAAAAGAUUCAUUUUUACUAGUUCAAAUAUAGCUAAAAUGAAGGCUAAGUUGAUAAAUUGGGGAUACAAUGAGAACGCGACACGUGUCGAAGUUAUUCUAGCUUUGUUAUGGAAAUGUUUCAUGUCUGCCAAAGGGUGUAACUCAGUUGCAAUUAUUCCAGUGAAUAUAAGGCAAAUUAUAGUUCCACCCUUGAAUGAAAAUUCAUUUGGUAACUUUUUUUUGGUAACAAGUUGUAUAGCAAGUGUGGAAAAUGAAUGGUGUUCAAUGGUAGGGAAAAUAAAUAGUGCAAUUAGGAGAAUUGAUGGUAAUUACGUGGAGAAAAUACGUGGAGAGGAUGGUUUUGAGUUUGUAAACAG